GGUGGGAGGCUUUGAAGUGUGGACGCCAGUCUGCAUGGAGCCGACCUUGAAAUACCACCCUUUAAUGUUUGAUGUUCUAACGUGGACCCGUGAUCCGGGUUGCGGACAGUGUCUGGUGGGUAGUUUGACUGGGGCGGUCUCCUCCUAAAGAGUAACGGAGGAGCACGAAGGUUGGCUAAUCCUGGUCGGACAUCAGGAGGUUAGUGCAAUGGCAUAAGCCAGCUUGACUGCGAGCGUGACGGCGCGAGCAGGUGCGAAAGCAGGUCAUAGUGAUCCGGUGGUUCUGAAUGGAAGGGCCAUCGCUCAACGGAUAAAAGGUACUCCGGGGAUAACAGGCUGAUACCGCCCAAGAGUUCAUAUCGACGGCGGUGUUUGGCACCUCGAUGUCGGCUCAUCACAUCCUGGGGCUGAAGUAGGUCCCAAGGGUAUGGCUGUUCGCCAUUUAAAGUGGUACGCGAGCUGGGUUUAGAACGUCGUGAGACAGUUCGGUCCCUAUCUGCCGUGGGCGCUGGAGAACUGAGGGGGGCUGCUCCUAGUACGAGAGGACCGGAGUGGACGCAUCACUGGUGUUCGGGUUGUCAUGCCAAUGGCACUGCCCGGUAGCUAAAUGCGGAAGAGAUAAGUGCUGAAAGCAUCUAAGCACGAAACUUGCCCCGA
rnacentral:rRNA from 2 species